rnacentral:lncRNA from 1 species
AGUGUUUCCUAGAGCCAUCUGCUGACAACACGAACAUUGGGCAUCUGACAGAGGAGAAAUAUUUAUAAGGUUUAGCUCCAGUAUCACAGGCAGAGCAAUGGAGGAUGGAUUUGGAGCUGCAAGGCAAUAAACUGGUAACUGAACAAAGCUUUGUGAGGUUGGAGGUAACUGCUAUUGAAGAAAUGCUUCAGGCCCUGGUCAACACAACGAAAGACAAUGAACAGAAAUCGCCAUUUGAUGUGAAGAGUGACUGUAAAGGAAGACAAGAAGAAGGCACAAGGAGAUUUGCUCCAAACUAGUUCUUCCCAUAAAAUCUCUGCCCCGGCCAGUUGCAGUGGCUCACGUCUGUAAUCCCAGCACUUUGAGAGGCCGAGGU